CCUACGGGCGGCUGCAGUGGGGAAUAUUGGACAAUGGGGGCAACCCUGAUCCAGCCAUGCCGCGUGUGUGAAGAAGGCCCUCGGGUUGUAAAGCACUUUCAGUGAGGAAGAACGCCUGGUGGUUAAUACCCAUCAGGAAAGACAUCACUCACAGAAGAAGCACCGGCUAACUCCGUGCCAGCAGCCGCGGUAAUACGGAGGGUGCGAGCGUUAAUCGGAAUUACUGGGCGUAAAGCGCGCGUAGGUGGCUUGAUAAGCCGGUUGUGAAAGCCCCGGGCUCAACCUGGGAACGGCAUCCGGAACUGUCAAGCUAGAGUGCAGGAGAGGAAGGUAGAAUUCCCGGUGUAGCGGUGAAAUGCGUAGCGAUCGGGAGGAAUACCAGUGGCGAAGGCGGCCUUCUGGACUGACACUGACACUGAGGUGCGAAAGCGUGGGUAGCAAACAGGAUUAGAUACCCUAGUAGUC
rnacentral:rRNA from 1 species